rnacentral:rRNA from 1 species
ACUAGCAGUAAGAGUUUGAUCAUGGCUCAGGACGAACGCUGGCGGCAGGCUUAACACAUGCAAGUCGAACGCACUCUUCGGAGUGAGUGGCAGACGGGUGAGUAACGCGUGGGAACAUGCCCUUCGGUACGGAAUAGCUCAGGGAAACUUGGAUUAAUACCGUAUACGACCUCCGGGUGAAAGAUUUAUCGCCCUGGGAGGGGCCCGCGUCCGAUUAGCUAGUUGGUGGGGUAACGGCUCACCAAGGCGACGAUCGGUAGCUGGUCUGAGAGGAUGAUCAGCCACACUGGGACUGAGACACGGCCCAGACUCCUACGGGAGGCAGCAGUGGGGAAUAUUGGACAAUGGGGGCAACCCUGAUCCAGCGACGCCGCGUGUGUGAAGAAGGCCUGCGGGUUGUAAAGCACUUUUGGCGGGGACGAUGAUGACGGUACCCGCAGAAUAAGCCCCGGCUAACUUCGUGCCAGCCGCCGCGGUAAUAC